UCCUGGUCAGGUCACUUUCUGCGACGACCUUCAAGUCGGACCCGCAGCCCACCUCCAGGGCACAACUUCCGGGCUCGUCCACCUGGGACCCAGGCGCCACUGUGGGUCAAAGUUCGCGCCAUCGGAUAGGCCCCGCCCCACACGCCUCCGCCGCCGCUACUCGUCGCGCUUCCGCUUCCGCCUCUGCCUGCUGGGGGCCGUUCCCUGGGCUCGCCCCUCCAGCCGGGCUGUCAGCCCAGUGGGUGACCUCGCGUGGGACAGGUUCUGACUUCCUCACCUGGACACAGUCUCCGUAGGUGGGAGGCCUGCGGCUGCCACAUCAUGGCCGUGGGACCUGUGGACGCCCCCCACCCCCGCCAUGCCCGGUUUCCCAUAUGAAGCAGCCCAUCAGGGUGAUGAGACUACUGUACAGGCGGACAGGGGCCCUGGGAAGGGCCUGCCAGGUCCCCUUGCUGUGAGGGGACCGCCUCCGAGGGCCUCCUGGACAGCCAGCUGCGGCAAGGACUUUCUUGGCCUUACGUUGUGAGCUCACCCCCAGCCUCAGGUCGGGAAGUGGGCUCUUCCUUCAAGCAGGCACGGCUCCUGGGUAGCACUGCCCAGUGGUGGCCCCCGUGCAGACAGGGAUGUGGUAGAAAACAGACUCUCCCAGGGUGUUGGGACUAAGCACCUAAGAGAAACGACACCAAAAGAAAGCCAAGGACCCUCGCUUCCCAGGCUCCCCAUGGGGUUGGCCUUGGAGUCCCCGGAGCUGCUGCUGUGCCCUGAUGGGCCCCCCAGUUCCCCAAGCAGCCUUCCUGCUGAAGUGCUGAGGAGUUUGCUGUCACCCUGACCUUCCAUUAGUGUUCCCCAUACAAUCCCAUAACUAAGGUAACCUGCAAAGAUAACUGAGUUCCCUGUAGUUUGAAGUGGCCAAAGGAUGCAAAGAGCAGCACAUGGUAUGGAUCAAAUAGAUAGUAGCCGAUUCUAUUAGGUAAAGAAAAUGUCAACUUAAGAGAAUGACUACUGGAGACAUUAGGGUGCCCUCUCUCAUCCACUCUUCCUCUUCUACAGUAGCACCCCCUAGUGUUUGGCUGCAGUUGGUUCAAAGGUAACAGAUGCCAUAAGGUGUACAGUCAGUGAGGUUGGGGACUUCUGUUUAGUUAAAGAUAACAUUUCUUUCAUUUGAUGUGAUUAAACAAACACAGAAGCUCGGAUUGCUGCUGUCAGAAUUUGCCACUACAGUAGAAGGCAGGCUGAGAACAAAUUGCUAAGAGGCAAAAGGAAGGACCAAGACCACCACGGAGGAGUCCAGGUCCACUGACGAUCAGUGAGUCUAAUUCAUUUUGAGCUGAAGAUUCCCCAUGACGCAAAUAUCUUUUAUUCCCUGAAUCCUUGAGUCAAGUAUGACUUUGUACUGAGGAAGAAGAUCUUCCCAAGUAAGAAGAACAAUGAGUGGAUCCAGCCCAAACCUCCCCCUCAUGAUGCAACAGAGGCUCAAAAUCACCACAGGAACCUUAAAAGAACAUUUUGCAGCUCUCCGACUGGGUAGUACUGAAGCAUCACAUGAUCGUUGGCAUUUAUUUCUUUAAAUAUGUGCUCCAAAAUUUUGCAGUUACCCAUCUAUAAUUUGCCAGUAGAUCCUUGUUAUUUAUACCACUUAGUAAGACAUUUAUUAUUAUAGCAAAACUUUAUUGUUUAGUUUUAGCAUUUAAAAUAUAAAUGUUUUCCUUUGUAAUCUGUAAUAAUUUUAGCAGCAAUUUCUAGAGGAAACAAACAAAAAGGAAGAAAUGUUUCAUUUGAUCAACUAGAAAUUUUAUUAGGGUUAUGGCAGAUUAUAUAUCUGAGUAAAUUUUCCAGUGGGAGUAAUUAAAUACUGGAUUUCAUGGAACACAUACACAAACCCAUCCACCUACACCCCAUGCACUUAGAUUGAAUGAUUGAAUAGAUUCAAUGUCUAUGCUGAAAUGUUUGGGAGAAGGGUUUCAAAUUCUCAGAUUUUGAAAUGUUUUCAAUUACAUAAGUUACCUUGGGAAUGAAACUCAAUUCUAAACAAGAAAUGCAUGAGUACUUUACACACACCUUUACACAUAUCCUGAAGUUAGUAUUAUAUGCAAUAUAUUUAGUGCACCUGUAUUCUGACUGUGACCAUACUUGGAGGUCAGAUGUGUAAUUUUCUACUUGUAGCAUCACAAUGGGUCUCCAAUGUUUUGAUUUUGGAAUAUUGCAGAUUUUUAUUUUUUAGAUAAGGAAUGAUAUAUACCAUACAUAUGUCUUUUUAUUUAUACAUGUAAUGAUAAUGAAUGUCAUGCGUUUAGGAAUCUGUAGACUGUAGAAAAUGAAUAAAUGCCUACUGUUGCCUGGACUUGUCUGCAGAAUCCUAUAGAGUCUGAGCAUCUAAAAACCUAGUCAUUGAAGGAUUUUUAUGGCAUGGAACAAAUUUAAAGGGGUAUUAAAGAAUAGAACUAUUUUUUUUUUCUGACUCAUGGAGCAGGACUCACAGUUGUUCAAGAUUUUAUGGGUUACUAAUCUUUGAUAAUUCUGUUAUUUGUUAAUAUAUUUAAUGCAGUUAAUUGUAGUUGAAAACUACCCAUUUGAAAUAUAUUAAUUAGCAUUGUUUCUGUAAAUAUAAACUGACUGUAAAUAUAAACCAUUUUUGAUAACUACAAGGAAGACAAGAUUUUCAAAUUUUCAAACUUGAAAUUGGGCAUUGUCCUUGAAACUGUUAGUCCCUGAGUUUGAAUGAAGGAGUUAGAAAAUUUUCAAUUUUCCACAGUAUAUAAAAAAUUACACACUUAAAAUAAUGUAUAUUUGCUUAAACUAUCUACAAAUUGGAAUUUUGUAAGCAGUCAUUCAAUUUUUUUAAUUGAUAGACUACAUGUUUAUGAAAACUAGAAAGUGUUUUCAUGGGAUAAAAUAGUAUCAGUUAAUUUAUAAUGUCUAUAUUCUUGUUUGAUAUCUUGCUCCAUUUCAGUGUUACCAAGCUUAAAUUCAAAAUAUCAAUGAAACAAACACACUGUCUAUAGAACAAACCCUGUUAAAGAUUUCUUUAAUAUUUCUUAUUUGUGAUAUGUUCUCUUAUUUUAAUCACCAUUAAAGAAUAAUUAGUUAUGCAUUUUUACCAUUAUGUAAUAAAAAUUAAAUGCACAAUACCAGGAAAAUGUGUUUACAAAUUAAGCAUUUGCAUAUAUCAGUAUAGUUAGCAUAAUGAAAAGACAGGUCUUUUCUAAAUGGCUUCAUUUUCAUUAGCAGGCAUUAUUAGUGUGUAUAGAAGUAUUAUAUGCAUAUUUGUCCAUCUUCAUCUUUAUGCUUUAAAAGUUCAUGAUAUUAAGACAUUUGUAGCAUAAUAAAUAAUGUACAACUUA